rnacentral:lncRNA from 1 species
AACUUUCUCCUGCCGGCACCAAGGACAGAAGUCAAAUCUGUGGACUGAGUCUUGAAAAAAGAACUCACUCACCAAUAAAUGCAUUUUAGUUCAGACGGGUACUCUUCGUACACAAGGCACCCCUGCCUGGCAGAAGACUGCCAAACACCUGCUCAAGUUCCUUGGAUUUUCUUCUUGCAAAAACUAUUUGCUGCUUGGGAGAGAGGCAACACGGUUUCUUCUCCAGCUUUUGCUUGACAGGCCAACAGAAGAACUCAGAGUGAACAGGUCAGUUCAGGAAUAAGAUGGGCCUAUGCAGAUCAAAACAAUGGUAAGUAUCAAUGUGCACAGCAGUGGGUUUUUUUUCCUGCAUAAAAGUAGCAUAUUAUUCUCAGUGCUUUUGAUUACUGAAAGCUCUAUUUUAUUAUCUGACUAAACUGGAAUUUAGGCUGUCUCUCCCUAGCCACAAACACAUAUCUCAUUUGCAGAUGGCAUAAACAUGCACUGUCUCAUGGAAACAGUGCAGAAUUUUUUCCCGCUCUUAUCUUGUACGGAAAAUUCGGAUCUAAGAAUGAUGUUAAAAUGCGA